AAACAGUGCAUGUUUACAAAAAUGCGUACAUAUGAAGCUACACACAUUAAAUAUAUUAGAAGAGCCUCCUGUGGGGAAGAAGGUCAUGAGAGUGGGGAAUGGGGAUUAAAAAGGAAAUAAAAGGGGAAAAAAGACUAUUAAAAAACAUUUUUUUUAGCUGAUCUUAACCACAAUCCCAGGGAGCAGGGAGCCUGGUGGGCUGCCGUCUCUGGGGUCGCUCACGACUGAAGCGACUUAGCAGCAGCAGCAGCAGCAGCAACCACAAUUCUUAGCUGUUCCCCAUGGAGUGAAGCAUUUUUCCGAGGGCGAGAGGAAGGGAGGAAGGUACGCAUUUUUACUUAGGACAGUCCGGAGCGAUUUCUGACUGCUCAGAGCGCACAGGUGUAGACGACAGGAUGGAACCCUACAAUUAGCUAGAGAUGUUCUUAGUGAAGAGUGAUUCUGGAUACAUCGUGUGUCUGGGUGUGUUCCCAGUGACCACCCCACAAACCCUCCUUUAUCCGAGCGUGGCAUGAGUAGCACUGGAAGACUUUUGAAUGAAAAUCCUGCAUUGAAAUCGGAUUUGUCUUUUGAUGUGACAGUAGACAUGUCAGCUUUGGGAGCAGAAUCCGGAAACUGUCAACACUGAAUUUCCUUUCGCGUCUGCCCAACGCUGCUCCUAUCCAUAAGCGCCUGGGAAGGAACAAGCAGCAUCUCUGAGGCUCAGUUUCCUUAGCCCUAGAAUGAGGCGCUAAAACUGCUCUAUUCAUAAGGAAGUGCAUAGAGGACAGUAGCAAGCUACCCCAGCGUCAGGGCCCCGGGCUAACAGGGGCUGUCGCGCCUGGAGCUGCACAUUUUGGACAGUGCAAACAUGUGCAUCAUCACCAGAGCACGACGGGAUCACCCAGGCCUGCACCGCCGCGUGGAACUUUGUGACUUCGGGCAGCUCCUACCUUCUGAGCCUCCUUUCUUGCCUAUAAAACGGAGACAGCGGUGCCAGCCUCAUUGGCUCCGAUGACUGAAUUGACAAGAGUGACUCAGUGAGUCACCUGCACAGUGCCCGGAGCCUGGCAGGCCUUGGCAGUGCCAGCCCCCGUGUCUUGCACCUGGUUGCUGAGGCUUAGGGUGGUUACCAAGCCUUCCCUUCUCUCUCUGCGGCCCAGGCAGGUCUUGUCACAGGCCAUUUUGUGGCAGAGUGAGCCCCUACCCAGACUCUCCGGGAGGCGGCAUAGGAACAACAGAAGGAAAGGCAGGAGCAAAGACUGCUGCCCUGUUUUAUCCACCGGCUGCCACUCACUAUGGUGUGUCCCUCCAGGACCUAGCUUCAGACAGGGACUCCAGCGGAGAACUGGUGUAUCUGUAUACCCGUGUUCCUAGCAGCACUGCUUACAACACCCAAAAAGCAGAAACAACCCAAGUAUCCGUCAACAGGGACUGUAGCCCUCCAGCCUCCUCCAUCCAUGGGAUUUGCCAGGUUCCGUCCUUCAGGCCCACGGGAGAUGACACCCUUCUUGUUGCUAGCCUCAGGUCUACUCCCGGACGACCACACUAUCCCUAGUGGCUAUUCUGAACCUCAUUCACACCUUUGUAAACAGUCUCUUUAUUAAACUCUCCUCAAAUUACCCCGUCGAA
ensembl:lncRNA